rnacentral:tRNA from 1 species
GGAAGCGUAGCUCAGUUGGUCAGAGCGCACGGUUCACAUCCGUGAGGUCAUGGGUUCGAGCCCCCUCGUUUCCACCA